rnacentral:lncRNA from 1 species
AUAGUCAUGUAAAGAAAAAAAAUUUACUUAGAUAGAUUAUCUUUCCAUAAGGUUGAGUGAUCUGAUUUGAUAAAUGUUUUAAAUGCUACACUCAUGAUCUUAUCAUCCAUCAACUUUGUCUUGCUCACUAUGCUUAAGGUUAGAGAAGAACAAAUACACAUUUGGUUCUGUUGGUGUUUUCCACCAACAGGGCCCAUGCACUUGAUCUCUGUCUUGUCUCUAUGAGCAGGAUACACUUCGAGCAAAACAUGGAGGAGUUUUCCAACUCCCAGACUCUACCAAGUGAAGGAUCUGGAUCUACGAGCACAAACACACUGAGGAGGAUGCUGCCAACGCCGCACUUCGAACUGCUGGGCAAACGAAAAACAUGGGGGACACCGUAUCAAGAGGUGCAGAUGUCAAGGUCCAAACCUAACUCAAAUGACGCACCUAAAGAAUAAACACGGUGAGAAGUCUUGUUCAGAAGACUUAAAACAUUGAACCCUCGCCGAAAGGUAAAAUCGGUAGUUAUCCAUAUUUAUCCUUUCUGCAUUCCUUUUUUUUCUUAAAUUAUUUACUUUCCUUAAAUAGCUUGUUAGUUAAUCAUGCUAUCUUGAAAAUAAAAUAAAAAUGUUAAAAACAGUAAGCCCCAUGUGAGUAUGCUCAUGGCAUAAAAUCCAUUCACUAUGGCGGCGUAAAAAUAAAAUAAAUAUAUUCUUGUCCUAUAAAAAUGAAAAUAUCAAAAUAAAUUUAUGAUCCUACUAAAGAGAAUAAUAUUUAUUAGAGGAAGCUCAACAUGAUAAAGGCUAAGAGAUUUUAUGCUAACUCUUAACCAGUUCCACAAAGCUUUGUUGUCUAUUUGAGCUCCACAGAAUUCAAGGAUCAAGGAAGACUAGCAGACGGAGGAUAUCCUAAUCGCUAUCAGGGUGCUUGUUGACGGUCCUUAAUGCUCACAUUUAACCAUCAACUAAUCAUGGGAAAGGAUCUAAAUGCAACCAACACCAAGACUUAGGGUUUUAUCUGACAGAAUUCCACGAGUUUUGGUGUUUAUCUAUUUCUGCAGGGGGUUAUCAGGAAACAUGGAAGAAAGGCCCACAUGUCGGGAUUACGUAGAGAUAUUAAUGUGCCGCGCAAUUUUCUACCAUCUAGAAGACUCCAGAAGCCACGGGAACGAACGGGAAGGCGAUCGGGCUCGGAGGCAGGGCGCCCGCCCUACUCUCCUGGGCGCCCGCCCUGCUACAGUGCCCAAUCAGGGUCAACUUUGCGGAUCGUGCUCCACCGACUCUAAGGAUCAAGGAAAAUCACGCGAUUAAGGUCGGUUUGAUCGGAUGGUGGAGAAUAACGUGGAAAUUCCUUGGGAGCUACUCUUCCUAGAUUUCUUGGGAGCUACUCUUCCUAGAUUUUUUGGGGGCUACUCUUCCUGGACUAUAUAAGCAGACCCCCACCAGCCCCUGGAGGCAUACCUCUUCUAUAGAAUCAAAGCUAGGGUUUCAAUUCUUCAUCCAAGUAGAGAGGAUCCCUCUAGUUCUUCUAGUUCUACCUCUAGUUCAUCUAGAUCUAGUUCUAGUUCAUCUAGUUCUAGUUCUAGUUCCUCUAGUUCUAGUUCUAGUUAGUUCUAGUUGUAAUCUAGAAAAUAGGAAGAGAGAAGAGGAGAGCGGAGGAGGAGGAGCCGGAUCUGUCGGAUCUUCCUCAACAUUGUACUUUUGCAGCAACUGGUUCGUUCUUCAUCGUUCUCCAGGUUCUUCAAUUAAUAAUCCUGAGUUCUUUAAUUACUUUUAUUUACAUUCAAGUUAUUUAUUGGAUUCCCGCUUGCAUCAAGUGCUCUAAUCUUUGCAACAUUAGAGUAGUAAUUAAUAGAUUAGACGUGGUGUUUAGUCUUGCAAUUACCUGGAAUUGCACCCAAUCCUGCGGAUUGUUGUGGUAGCCUUAGGGUAGUGACAGCCCUAACGGUCGACGUAUUCCACCUCGUUCGGAUCGGUGUUUGUAGGACCGUAGUCAGACCUUCCUAGCCCCCUUCUCAUCUCUUUCUGUGGUUAGUGCUCUGAUGUCCCGAUAUAGAUAAUCUUGAAGUAAUUCUUGAUUCUUAGAUCAACUAGAGAACUCUCAUGAAACUUUCUCUCUUCCCACCAAAAACAAUUAUAUAGUUAUCCCUGGGCGAUCUUGAUUCUUAAUUAGUACACUCACGUUCUCUGUGGAAAAUCGAUACUCUGGAAUACUCCCGGGUGAAAGCUACAUCAGUAUCCGUGCGCUUGCGGAUUUUUCUGUUUGCGUUUAAAAUACCCAACAAGCUUUCUGGCGCCGUUGCCGGGGAACGGUAGCUGUGCUAGUUUCGAACCAAGUCAUCCGUGUAUCCUUUUUCUUUUCCUUUUUACCACACUCACCUUACCAUUUUCACCACACCACAUGGAUUUCACUCCUAUUUAUAAAUUCUUUGCUCCAAAGGGCGAGUUAUUAGAGCCACCACCAUCAUCACAUCCAAUUCUUACAGAUGGCUAUGACCUUGGCCCUGAUCUAAUAGCCAUGAUUCAGGAGCAACCCUUCUCUGGGCAAGUAGAUGAAGAUCCAUACACCCAUCUUAGAGAAUUUGAGCAGUUGUGUUCUUGCCGAUCUAUUUCCGUCAUGACACAAGAAACCCUUAAAUGGAAAUUAUUUCCGUUCUCCCUUUUGGGAAGAGCAAAAAAGUGGUAUGCUCAUUCUGUAGGAGGCGUUAAUGGAAGUUGGGAUGAACUUCGGGGCAACUUUUGUCUUGCUUUCUUCCCACUUUUUCGAAUCGCUGACCUUAGAAUCAAAAUUCUUACAUUCAAACAAAGAGAGAAGGAAACUUUAGGAGCAGCUUGGGCUAGGUUCACAAGCCUUACCAAUUCCGGUCCAAACCUUUCCCUGCCUGACCAUGUACUGUACUGCCACUUUUAUCGUGGUCUAAGCAAGGAGGCUGCUCUUCACCUCGACAUUGCUUCAGGAGGCUCAUUCACACACAAACUCACAGAUGAGGGGAGAGCUAUCCUAGAGAGAAUCCUUGAAAAUACCCCUUACACAGGCAUGUAUGAUGAGUUUCCUGAAGAAGAAGAAGAAGUCGAGCCUGAUCCUAAACCAAAAGAUGAGGAACUUGCAACCGAGUUAGAAAUUCCACCUGACCCACCUAUUAAUUUGGUUGUAGAGAAACCUCCAGAUAAGGGAAUGCAAAACCAACUAAGGGAUGAUGAACCACCACCUUUAGAGCAUCCCUUUGAAUUCGAGGAAGAUCUUUUUGAAGAUUAUGGAAACACCUCGAAUUUUCCUAUCCAAACACGACCUCUAGUAAGGACCACUCAAUCUGUUCUAAGAGUAGAAUCUGUUGACAUAGAACACAUCAAAAGCCUUUCGGCUAUUCUGAGUUAUGAAUGGCUAACAGAAGCUGAGCUGUCUCCUGAGGUAGCUCGAAUCAUCACUCCUUCAACCAUUCUUCUGUGCCAAAUUAGAGGGUCCCCUAGGAAGGUCCACUACAAUCCAUAUGUUGGGAUAAAUGUUAUUUCCAAGGAGUUAGCUGACACUCUUUAUCCCAACGAGUCCAUAACCCCAUCCCAAAAACUUUUACAAAGUCCAUCUGGAUUAAUUCUAGAAAGCCAUGGUGUAUUAAGGGCAGUUUCUGUUAGAAUCAAGGACUCUGGAAUAUGUCUAGACUUUCACAUUUUUGACAUACCAGAGAUUCCUCUCUUGAUUGGCAGACCAAUCAUGAAACUUCUACAAGAGCAGCCACAACGAGGUUAUUUAGGCUUCAAAGUGGGGAAUUCCACUAUUGUUGUCCCUCUUGCUAGAUGAAUUAACACGAUAGUGGAACCCAAACUUGACCUAGAUCCUAUUGAGGAGGUCUUAAUGGUGACUCAAGAGGAGAUGACCCAACCAUUCUUUAAUCAUGAACACUUUGUUCAAGAAGAAGAAGAGUUGGUAGAACCCGUUGAGCUAGACAAAAAUGAACUACCUUCACCUCCUUCGAUAGAAUUAAAACCUCUUCCUUCUGGCCUUAGAUAUGUAUUCUUGCACAACAACUCAAAAACUCCAGUAAUUAUCAGUGACAAGCUUUCCGAUUAUGAAACACAACAACUUGUCACUGUUCUUGAAAGACAUAGAUCAGCUUUUGGCUACUCUCUCGAGGAUCUCACGGGCAUUAGUCCCAUUCUCUGCACUCAUCGUAUCCCUAUUGAUCCUAAUUUUACACCUUCGAGGGAACCACAACAGAGACUUAACAAUGCUAUGCGAGAGGUUGUUAAGAAAGAGGUCCUCAAACUCUAUCGUGCUGGGAUUAUUUAUCCUGUGCCACAUAGUGAGUGGGUUAGCCCUAUCCAAGUAGUGCCAAAGAAAGGAGGAAUGACGGUCGUUAGGAAUGAGAAGAAUGAACUCAUCCCUCAACGAAUUGUCACUGGGUGGCGUAUGUGUAUUGACUAUCGAAAACUCAAUAAGGCUACAAAGAAAGAUCACUUUCCGUUACCCUUCAUUGAUGAAAUGUUAGAAUAGCUUGCAAACCACUCUUUCUUUUGUUUCCUUGAUGGUUAUUCUGGAUAUCACCAAAUCCCAAUCCACCCAGAUGACCAAGAAAAGACUACCUUUACAUGCCCAUAUGGAACUUAUGCAUACCGACGAAUGUCGUUCGGAUUGUGCAAUGCUCCAGCUUCUUUCCAACGGUGCAUGAUGUCUAUUUUCUCGGACAUGAUUGAGAAGAUCAUGGAGGUUUUCAUGGAUGAUUUUACCGUCUAUGGCAAAACCUUCGAUCAUUGUUUGGAAAAUUUAGAUAGAGUCUUGCAGCGAUGUGAAAAAAAACACUUAAUCCUGAACUGGGAGAAAUGCCAUUUUAUGGUUCAGGAAGGAAUAGUGCUAGGACAUAAAGUGUCCGAACGUGGUAUAGAGGUGGACAAAGCAAAGAUUGAAGUUAUUGAAAAACUUCCACCUCCCACGAAUGUGAAAGGAAUCCGUAGCUUUUUGGGACAUGCAGGGUUCUAUAGACGCUUUAUCAAGAAUUUCUCUCAAAUUGCUAGACCCCUAACUAAUCUCCUAGCUAAGGAUGCACCUUUCAUCUUUAGUGAUGAGUGUCAUGAAUCUUUUCAAACUCUUAAGAAAGCACUCAUCUCAGCCCUGAUUAUCCAACCACCUGAUUGGAAUCUUCCUUUUGAGAUCAUGUGUGAUGCUAGCGAUUUUGCGGUUGGUGCCGUUUUAGGACAAACCAAGGAUAGAAAGCAUUAUGCCAUAUCCUACGCUAGCAAAACCUUGUCUGGACCACAGCUCAAUUACACUACAACUGAAAAAGAGCUUUUGGCUGUUGUCUUUGCUAUAGACAAGUUUAGAUCUUACUUAGUGGGGGCAAAGAUAAUCAUCUAUUCAGACCAUGCUGCUCUCAAGUACCUCCUCACUAAGAAAGAUGCUAAGCCUCGUCUAAUUCGAUGGAUUCUUCUACUCCAAGACUUUGACAUAGAAAUCCGAGAUAGGAAGGGAGUUGAGAAUUCUGUAGCCGACCACUUGUCUAGGCUUCAAUAUAAGGAAACACAUGAUGAGCUUCCCAUAAAUGACUACCUAAGGGAUGACACCCUACUUAAGAUAACACAUGCAGAUCCAUGGUACGCAGACAUCGUAAACUUUAUAGUAAAAGGCUAUGUCCCACCUGGUGCAAACAAAAGGAAGUUACUUCACGAUAGUCGUUUCCACCUUUGGGAUGAGCCAUAUCUUUUUCGAGUCUGCGCUGAUGGACUCUUGAGAAGGUGUGUUCCUAUGGCCGAGGCUACUCAAAUUAUGGAAAGAUGCCAUGCCUCGCCAUAUGGAGGACACUAUGGAGCAUUCCGGACACAUGCUAAAAUUUGGCAAAGUGGUUUUUUCUGGCCAACGAUGUAUGAAGAUACAAAGGACUUUGUCAGGAGAUGCCACCGAUGUCAAAAACAUGGGAAUAUCAACUCACGAAAUGAAAUGCCUCUCACAAAUAAUCUUCAAGUAGAACUUUUCGAUGUAUGGGGCAUUGAUUUCAUGGGGCCAUUCCCUAUGUAUGGGAAUUGUGAGUAUAUCUUAGUAGCUGUGGACUACGUGUCCAAAUGGGUAGAAGCCCUACCUUGUCGAUCAGCUGAUUCAAAACAUGCCAAGAGAAUGUUCCAUGAAGUAAUCUUUCCUCGCUUUGGUAUACCCCGGAUAGUUAUAAGCGAUGGAGGUUCCCACUUCAUCGACAAAAUCUUCCGGAAGUACUUAGCCGAUCAUGGAGUUCGACACAACGUCGCAACACCAUACCAUCCUCAGACUAGCGGUCAAGCCGAAACAUCUAACAAACAAAUCAAAAAUAUUCUACAAAAGACCGUAGAUGAGAUGGGUAAGGGGUGGAAGGACAAACUUCCUGAUGCACUUUGGGCAUAUAGAACUGCAUUCAAAGCACCCAUAGGCAUGUCACCUUAUCAACUUGUAUAUGGAAAAACUUGUCAUUUGCCUGUGGAAGUAGAGUUUAAGGCUCAUUGGGCACUCAAGAAAUGGAACAUGGAUCUCCACCUCGCUAGCGAGAAUCGUCUGAUGCAACUAUCUGAGCUAGAAGAAUGGAGAGAGAAAGCCUACCACAAUUCAAGGAUCUAUAAAGAGAGAACAAAACGAUGGCAUGAUAAGAGAAUCAAGCACAAGGAGUUUAAGCCUGGAGAUAAGGUUCUACUAUUCAAUUCAAGAGUUAAGCUCUUUGGGCAUGGUAAGCUACGAAGUAAGUGGGAUGGACCAUACAAGGUUAUUGACACUUCAACUCAUGGAGCCAUUACCAUCCAAAAUGACAUAGGUAACACUUUUAAGGUAAAUGGUCAACGCUUGAAAAUCUAUCUCGAGCCACAAAACAACCUGGUAGAGGAACUUGAUGUGAUUGAGUUCAUAGAAUUCUCAUAUUAAGCUCUCAUAAGCUCUAGACAAUUACCUAACCCUUAACAUGCUCCACAAGUUUUGUUGUCUAUUUGGGUUGUGCAGGAUUUUUGAAGCUUAAGAAGAGUAAGACCGAACAUGCAGGCCACAAGAGUGAACGACUAUGUCAACAUCCAGCUUGGGGGAGGCACCCCUACGUGUAUCUAGAUAAGUAUUACUUUUCUUUCUUGGUUUUAUUUACUAGUAUUCGGAAAUAAAAAAAAUGCAUAACCAUGAAACCAAACAAAGUUUUUCUUUUGAGUAAUAUACAAUAGUUUCGUGUAAUCCUAAGUUUUAAAUAAAAUAAAAAAAAGUUUGAUUCAAGUCUAGGUAAUUGACAAACAUGAUAUGAGAAUGUCUGAGCUACUAUUUAACUUGUUCCAAGUUUUGCUAGAGUUGUGCAGAUUUUAUCUUUUGAAAAUAUAAAAUUUCAUAAAAAAAAAUAUAUGAGAUCAUAAUACCUAGAGUCUUAUAAGAUAUAAAUAUUAAAACUGUGGGCACUUGCUUUGUUCAAGCCAUUGUUAAUUCUUGUAGUUUUGGUUGAGAGAAUUAUCAUGCUCCCAAGAUCAAGAUCUUUUUGUUUUAAAAAUAUAAAAGAUUCACUCUUCCGAAGUAUUAUUGCGUUAGAGGCAUGGGACUAUGCAAAAUUUUGAUUCGAAAAAAAAAGUGAGACGAGAGGUAAAAAUGUACAAGUGUCCGAAGUAGAAUUAGGGGUACAAAGAUACCCACCUGAGUGGAAAAAAUGGACAUGUGUCCGACAGUAGAAUUAGGGGUACUUGCUGCCCACUUGAAAAAAAAAGAAGAGACUGAAGAAAAAAAGAAAAAAAAAUGAUAGCCUAUGGUCCCUCUAAUAAGCAAUAUGCCAGUAAGAGAUGACAAACUUUUCAAAAAGGUCAAAGGUCUUGAUCUAGGAGUAUGACAUUCCUCUCCCUUGCUCCGAGCAUUGACAUAGCAAAAUGCAAAGUAAGUAUGCUAAAAUUUUUAAAGCUCUACUUAUAUAUCUUUCGAGAAGAAGGCAAAUGCUUCAGUUUUAUUUUGAAAACUUACAAACAACUCCAGAACAAAGGUAAGACAGAAGAGCUUGAGACAUAGUGCUUGACUUGAUCGUUCUGUUUUUCAAUCACAUAAGACUUUAAAAACCCUAUAGUAAGAGGCAUAAAAGUAACCCCUGUUUUCUUGAUGAUUUUAGCUUUGCUCAGGGACGAGCAAAGGUUAAGCUUGGGGGAGCUUGUUGACGGUCCUUAAUGCUCACAUUUAACCAUCAACUAAUCAUGGAAAAGGAUCUAAAUGCAACCAACACCUGGACUUAGGGUUUUAUCUGACAGAAUUCCACGAGUUUUGGUGUUUAUCUAUUUCUACAGGGGGUUAUCAGGAAAUAUGGAAGAAAGGCCCACAUGUCGGGAUUACGUAGAGAUAUUAAUGUGCCGCGCAAUUUUCUACCAUCUAGAAGACUCCAGAAGCCACGGGAACAAACGGGAAGGCGAUCGGGCUCGGAGGCAGGGCGCCCGCCCUACUCUCCUGGGCGCCCGCCCUGCUACAGUGCCCAAUCAGGGUCAACUUCGCGGAUCGUGCUCCACCGACUCUAAGGAUCAAGGAAAAUCACGCGAUUAAGGUCGGUUUGAUCGGAUGGUGGAGAAUAACGUGGAAAUUCCUUGGGAGCUACUCUUCCUAGAUUUCUUGGGAGCUACUAUUCCUAGAUUUCUUGGGGGCUACUCUUUCUGGACUAUAUAAGCAGACCCCCACCAGCCCCUGGAGGCAUACCUCUUCUAUAGAAUCAAAGCUAGGGUUUCAAUUCUUCAUCCAAGUAGAGAGGAUCCCUCUAGUUCUUCUAGUUCUAUCUCUAGUUCAUCUAGAUCUAGUUCUAGUUCAUCUAGUUCUAGUUCUAGUUUCUCUAGUUCUAGUUCUAGUUAGUUCUAGUUGUAAUCUAGAAAAUAGGAAGAGAGAAGAGGAGAGCGGAGGAGGAGGAGCCGGAUCUGUCGGAUCUUCCUCAACAUUGUACUUUUGCAGCAACUGGUUCGUUCUUCAUCGUUCUCCAGGUUCUUCAAUUAAUAAUCCUGAGUUCUUUAAUUACUUUUAUUUACAUUCAAGUUAUUUAUUGGAUUCCCGCUUGCAUCAAGUGCUCUAAUCUUUGCAACAUUAGAGUAGUAAUUAAUAGAUUAGACGUGGUGUUUAGUCUUGCAAUUACCUGGAAUUGCACCUAAUCCUGCGGAUUGUUGUGGUAGCCUUAGGGUAGUGACAGCCCUAACGGUCGACGUAUUCCACCUCGUUCGGAUCGGUGUUUGUAGGACCGUAGUCAGACCUUCCUAGCCCCCUUCUCAUCUCUUUCUGUGGUUAGUGCUCUGAUGUCCCGAUAUAGAUAAUCUUGAAGUAAUUCUUGAUUCUUAGAUCAACUAGAGAACUCUCAGGAAAUUUCCUCUCUUCCCACCAAAAACAAUUAUAUAGUUAUCCCUGGGCGAUCUUGAUUCUUAAUUAGUACACUCACGUUCUCUGUGGAAAAUCGAUACUAUGGAAUACUCCCGGGUGAAAGCUACAUCGGUAUCCGUGCGCUUGCGGAUUUUUCUGUUUGCGUUUAAAAUACCCAACAGUGCUGCCAACAUUCAAAUACACCUACGCCACCUGCUAGCUACAUCAGAAGAAAUUAUGUUAAAAUCCACCUUGGGGGAGAGCACCUCUAUUUAUCCAGCUAAGUGUUUCUACUCACAUUUAUACCUUACUCAAAUAAUAAAAAAUGCAUAAUCAUAAAAACCUAAUUAAACAUUUUGUGCUUAUAUAUAUCUUUGCUUAGUUUGCUAAAUAAAUAAAUAAAGUGUCCAUGCCAAACUGAACUUCAAUGAUAAAGUCUUACAUGGAUAUGAUGAAUAGUUGCUCUGCCAAGUACCUAGUUUUCAAAUUUGAGCUCUCUCUCAAGUUUAGGCAUAACUGUUAUAAUUUAAAACUUGCUCUAAACCUGAAUUUGCGGAAAGAGUCCCUGAUCAAAAGUCUAAGUCGUUAACAGAUAUGAUAUGGAAAGGUUGAGCUGAUGUUUAUCUGUUCCUAGACAUGCUUAUUAGACUAUGAACCAUACAUUUACUUUUUACUACUUAUGAGCAUUGAGUGUGGUCAAGCUGUGUAGACCCUUAGGAGCUUGUCAUGUGGUUAAAAUCAAGAUUCACUUGCACGUUCACUCAUACAUGCUACUUCUACUCUGGAAGUACGCAUCCACAUACAUCCACUCAUUUCCAUAUCCAGAUUCACCCAAAAUUAUUCUACUCCUAUCUAGGAGAGAAUAGCCAAAAACAUUAUCCUAUCCUUAUUAUUCCCCGUGAAAUAAAUGCUCGAGAUAUUUUGGUUACUACCACUUGCUACAUUAUUCCAGGAGGUUGAGUGCUCUGAAAAAAAGUGAAUACGAGGAAAUAAAAAGGGGCAAGUGCCCGAAACCUCGAAAAAAAGAAAAAAAAGUGAGACGAGAGGUAAAAAUGGACAAGUGUCCGACAAUAGAAUUAGGGGUACAAGAUACCCACCUGAGAGAAAAGGAAAAAGAAAAUAUAGAGCAUUUCAUUCCCCUCAAAAAGCUUCAAAGUGCAAGAAAGGUAUGUAUCCCCUCAAAAGAGCAAAAGUAGAAUUAGACUUUCACCAUUAUUUUCACCAUUAUCACUAUUCAUUCGCCACACAUGCACAUCUUGAUUUGACUUAUUGACUUAUUCUUUUGGAUCCAUGGUUUGACUAUGCAAUAAGUGUCUUGUAAGUAUGUAUUAGCUGACUCCCACCUAUGAGCUCCAGAUAUCAAAACCUUAUUAGAGUAGGGUGAGAAAGAAGGCAAUACCACUAUGCCUCAUACCAAAAAUACCACAUACUUUGAGAGAAGGCAUACACCAUUACUGCCUUGGUAUGGAUCCAGAAAUACCACAAAAGAGAGACUAGAGAGAGUCAUACAAGGAAUUUCUGAGUUUUAUUUGAAAAUCUGCAAAAACUCCAGAGCUAUAGUUAAUCGAAGGACAAGAGACAUGGCGCUUGACUAGACCGUUCUAUCUUUUAACUGCUCAAGACAUAAGUGAUGGUUGCAAGCCCCAUGGUGGAAGGUAAAAUGAGUAAGUUCAAAUCUUAACAGUUUACCCUAACCCAGAGAUGAGAUCUUGUUUGAACGCAUGUGUACCUUUAAGGCAAGAAACCACUUUAGAAACUCUUGAGUCCAUCUUUGCUCAGGGACGAGCAAAGGUUAAGCUUGGGGGAGCUUGUUGACGGUCCUUAAUGCUCACAUUUAACCGUCAACUAAUCAUGAAAAAGGAUCCAAAUGCAACCGACACCUAGACUUAGGGUUUCAUCUGACAGAUUUCCAUGAGUUUUGGUGUUUAUCUAUUUCUACAGGGGGUUAUCAGAAAAUACGAAGGAAAGGCCCACAUGUCGGGUUUACAUAGAGAAUUAAUGUGUGCGGUAAUUUUCUAUAAUCAAGAAGACUCUAGAAGCCACUCGACCGAAGCGGAGCCGAGACGGGCCUGGGACCAGGGCGCCCGUCCUUGACCCUAGGGUGCCCGCCCUGGUACAUGCACCAAUCACAGAAUGAAGUACACCAUUACAAAGAUCUCGUCGAGCUUAUCGAAAUGCAUAUAUUAUUUGCUAUAUUUGGAGUUCGGAAUCAAGAGAUAUUAAUAAAAGAAGGACUCCACAUAAAAGAGCUGCGGGAUUAAUUGGACCCAAAUCAGAUUUUGGUCCAUUAAGGCCUAUGUGCAUUUGUAAUACCCGAUUUUAAGGACAAAACCAGAUAUACACCAUAUGUGAGUCUUAGAAGUCAAAUCUCACAUAUAGCUACAAAUAACGGGUAAUAUCAAAAGACAAUGCGUAAAUUAUAACGUACUUAGUGUAAAAGAUAUAACCUUUGAUAGCAACAGCGGACAAACAACUCCAAACUUCGGGUAUUAACUUCUCUCUACAGGAUCCAACUGACUGGUUGAUCACAAGCCUAAAACAUCUCCUAAAGUGUGCGGGAAAUUGCAAGAGAGAGCACAUAUCGUACUCAACAAGUAUAGGGGUUCAUGAGGCUCAAUAAGCUGACACUGGUUUGACUGCAUUUAGCUUUUAUAUGUGAAUAGCAUAUUUAAUCAUUGGAUAGAAAUAUCAAGGUAGCAUAGUAAAUCCCAUAACCACAUGAUCAAUUGUAUACAAGAAUUAUGAAUAACACAUAUAAACAACAUAAUAAACCAUCAUUUAUCAUCAUUAAUCAUGUUCAUCAGUGUCCGUCUAUUCCGUCAGUUUUCCGGGCCGCCCGUAUCCAUGGGCACGGCUAGUAUACCAGAUUUAACACUCUACAGAGGUUGUACAUCUUUACCCAUGAGUCGUGGUUUACCCUUUCGCCCGAGGUUGCAAGUCUCUUAACCCCCUUCCUAGGGAGGUCGGCAGGGAUCACUAUGAAGCCUUACAAAGGUUUUGUCUAACAAGUUAGGCCAUUAGAUUCACUCGGUAGGCAGAUAUAGAGCCUCCCUUCCAUGGCACAUAACCCGCAGCCUAUACACAUGGACAGAGGCCACACUAUACCCAACGUGUCUAGCCAUUCUUACGCCAUUUAAGGUAACCACUAACAAGCUAGAAAAGGGUCCUCAUACUGAGCUAAAACCAGAGCCAUAUAGCCCUCAUCGUUGUACGAGUUGUCCCAGCUUUUGCCAAGGGAUAAGUCCUUAUGGAGGGUCAAGAUCAAUCUAGCAAAAGCUAGAGUUCUUUCCACCCUUUAUGUUCAAGUUGCGAGAAAGCUUAUUUUAUUGUUUAUUGUAUAUCUAAAUAUUCAUGUUACAAGAUCAUGGAUUAUUAAUCAAGCACUAGCAAGAACUACCCAAAUGCAUAUCCAAAUAGGUAAUCAAGGAAUUCAGGAUAACAAUCAUCUAUGAUUUGGCCAAGGUCAUCAAGGUGGACACAUGCAUAUGAUAAAUAUUGUAUUAAUUGUGUAUAGGUAACAAGGAUGAUCCAAGCUAUACUUACCUUGAUCAAAGCUCUCCUGAGCCUGCUGCUGGUCUUCAAAAGAUUGACCUCGAUCACCAACGUAUCACUCACCGUCUAUACCGAUCGUCAAUCAACAACACGCAAUCUAAUAUAGACAAUCAUACACGAAGCAAACAAGCUAUAAUUAGAACAAUACACCAAACAGUGGUAAAACAAAUAUAAAAGUUUAUCAAAAUAUUCUACGCAGCACUACGAUCACACAAACGUAAAGAUCACGAAAAUCGAAGUUAAAACGUAGAAGAUAUGAAUUUUCUAAGAUUUUAUGGAGAAAAGAAAUUAAUUAAUUAAAGUCACGAAAAUAAAAAGUUUUAAACUGAGAAAACCAUUUUUCUAACAUGUAGAGCUCAUGAAAACGAACCUAACGCAAUUUGAAUGGGUCAAAUCGGAGUUAGAAUGAAUAUUUUAUAGCCAAAAGAAAUCCAGUGGCAAACUUGUAAUUUGAUGAAAACGUAUUUUGAGCGAAACCCGAGAUAAAAUACGUUUUCUAAAGGACAUAGCGUGUUUCUGGAAAGGCGUAAAGGACUGCGGGUUUAUUUAGAAAAACUCCGAGGGCUCUUUAUCAAAAUAUACCCCGAAGAGGUAUCUUCUAAUCUCGGCCCUUGGUUUUGGAUCGGAUGGCUCAGAAUGAUUCCAGGGGGGUGAGGGGAGUUCCCUGGCCAGAACAGAGGGAGUCCACGGUGGCUCCAUGGCCGGAAAAGAGCAGAGCUCGCCGGAGUUGCUGGAGAAGGCACUAGGAAGCUCGGUUUUCGACGGGAAAAGUUCCGGGAGCAAGAGAGGACCCUCACGAACUCACCUGGGGGUUAUCGAAGCUCGGGGAGGUCUCGGGAGAGGCGCGCGACGCAAACCUCGGACAGGAGUUUCCCUGGACACUUCGGCGACCUGCGACGAGUGACACAGAGCAUGAAUUCACGAGGGGUAAGACUCAGGGGCUUCGCAAACGCAGCACGAAGCUCGGUAGAAAGGUUACGGUGCUCUGGACGCAGCAGGUGGCGAAACCCACGACGGCGGCGAAUUCGUUCGUCGGAGAGAUCCGAACCGUGGCGAGAGAGCUGCUGGGGCAGCUUCACGUCGCGUGAAACAGAAGAGAGGGUCGAGAGGGAGAGCACAGGGCUUUAUUGACCUGGAGAAGAUCUCCUAACGCGCGAAAUCCUGGCCUGAGCGGGAUUCGGUUUCCACUGAGAGCCCGGGGUCGGUCUGGACUCGAGGGAGAAGAAAGGAAGAGCGGGAUUCGGUUUCUUUUUUUUCCAAAACAUUUUUCCAAAUAGAGUUUUGUGUGCAAAUAAUUUUUAACUAAAAGCAACAUGCAUAACAUAAAAUAUGCUCCAGCAUGAAUGCACAAUCAAGGUUGCUAAACUUACGCUAAAUUUUAUUUUCCACAAAAAAUUAUUUAAGCACUAAAUUUAAAUGCUCACAAAAAUAUACUUAAUUAAAUCAAAUUAAAUCCUAUUAAUUGAAAUCAAAUUUUUGGGUGUUACAGCAUUUUAAUGAGAUAUGGUGGAAAGUUUAGUACCACAUCGCCUGCUGAACCAAAAACGCACAAAGGAGGAGGACUAUAUAAGCAAGGCCCCUGGCCCCUGGAGGAGAACACAUCAAUAUAGAGUUGAGAGGUGCCCUCGAAGGAUAACCUUUCCUCUAUAGAGAAUUAGGGCUAGACAUUCCAAUGUAGUAGAUUAGUUCUAGUCGGGAGUUAGGUAGAGCGGAGCUGCGCUCCGGUUCUGGAGAAGUCUUCAGAGUUUUGGUAUGUCUUUAUAUUUAUUGUAAGACUUAUCCUUUAAUAUAUUUAUCUUCUCUAUUUACUUUUAUGCCUUUAUUAUUAUCGAGUAGUGUAGUUGUUAUAUUUUGGCAUAGGAUCUCCGUUCGGAUCGAGUGCUCUAGUUAUUCAUGGUAAUUAGAGUAGUAAUCGUUAGUGUAGACGUGGUGUCUAUACUAGAGGUUACCUGAGGUUGCACCCAGUCCCGCGGAUUGUUGUGGUAGCCCUAGGGUAGUGACAGCCCUAACGGUCGACGUAUUCCACCUCAUUCGGAUCGGUAUUUGUAGGACCGUAGUCAGAGCUUCCCAGCCCCCUUCUCAUCUCUUUCUGUGGUUGGUGUUCUAAUGUCCCAAAGUGCUAAUAUGUGAUUGCUAUAUCUAUUCAUUCUUUGUUAUCAUAGAACUGAAGUAAUAGAGAAGUAUACAGGAAUCCAGGUCUCUCCCGUUGUCCUCCCGCUAUGGCUAUCUACGCAUUUAUCAUAGAAUUCUCACCUUUAUAUUAUUACCUAUCAUAUAUCAUUUACCCCUACUUUAGUCUAGUUGGUUUAUUAAAUUAGUAGAUCCAUGAUAGUAAGUUAUCAGAUUCUUUGACCUUAGCUUCCCAGUGGUAAAAUAUAAAUAACGAUACCUGGAAUACUCCCGGUAAAAUGCUACGAUGAUGUUCUGUGCGCUUGCGGAAUUUUUCUUAUUCUUAUUGCACUUAACGAAUGUCAACACCUUCCUUGUUCUGAAACUUUCUCAGUUCAACAUGGGCAACCUAAUCUUGCUUAUCCUCAUCAUGAAAAUAGAAGGUCUCUACACAACUAAUAAAUCCUUCUAUUAUUGUGGGCUCAUCAAAGAUUGCUGGAUUAGCAUAACUGUAGUGUGAUUCAAUAAAUAAUAUGUCAAAUGUAGUGGAGAAUCAAGUCUUCCAUUCAUCUUCUUGUCAAUAACAACAAUUACCUCCUUGAACUGAGACUCAUUAUUGCACAUGGCCUCCUUGAUCUCUCUAUGCCUUUAGUAGUUCUCCAUAAACGAAACCCAUGGAUGGCUUCACAUCCCCAUCAACCAAGCGGAGAACAUUGAAUAGUGGAUCAAAAACACUCAUUGUUAGCUUCACAUCUUUCUAGAAGUUUGGAUUCAAUAUAAUGGUUGUGGCAUCUUUUCCUUUCUUUGAUUUUACAUCCCUCGGUGAGUCCCACCUACUAUGAACCACUAUCUUUCUUAGCCGGUCCUUCUUCUCUAGUAUGCUAUUCAAUGUGAGAAAAAUUGAAGCAAACCUAGUCACUCCUGGUCUUACUAUCUCUUUCCUCUCUGUGAAGUAUCUCAUGCAUUCUAAUGUUCUUGUGUGCCCAUAGACAAAUAUAGUUAAUGCCUUUGCUUGCUCAAUCACCUUCUUGAACCGAGCCAAAUUGCCAAUUCCUUCCAGCAUCAGGUUUAAUGUGUGAGUUACACAAGAGGUCCAAAAUAUUUGUGGUCUCUUCUCAAGCAAUAGCUUCUUUGCUCCCAUGUUGUUAGAGGCAUUGCAUAUCACUACUUGCACCACAUUUUCUAGACCAAUGUCUUCAAUUGCUUUGUCCACUAGUUCAAGGACGACUUCACUUGUGUGUGACACAUGUGACAUCUCUUUUGAUCUAAUAAAACUGGUUCCAUUACCACAAUUAGUGUAUAGAUUCAUUAUGCUUCUCCUCUUCCUAUCUGACCAAGCAUCGGUCAUAAUAGAGCACCCAUUCUUGAUCUUCUUGGCUUCACGUUAUUGUAGCAAACUCUUGGUUCUUGCAUAUUCUUCUUCCAGCAAUCUCUCUCGUAGAUCAUACUGACUUGGAGGUUCAAGUCCAGCCCCAAAUUGUCUAAUUGCUUCACACAUCUGCUUAAACUCAUUGUUGUCACAUGCGUUGAAUGGUAUUGCUACCAAUGUUACAAAAAAAGAAGGUUAAUUAGUGUUUAGUACAGCUAUAAUAGCAUCUAAUGAAUUCUAAAAUAUAAAUACAGAAUAGGAAAUUACCAUGAGUAUAGACCCAUCUUGCAAUAUAUUUAUGCACCUCAUGUGUUCUUUCUUUCCAAAGCUCUUUGUUCAGCUUUUGUUGAGUCAAAGAUUCAGAUUUGGUUGCUUUAGGAUCAAUAGCAUGUGUCCAUUUGUCAAUGGGUCCUAAUUUGUGAGGCUCUGAACUUCCAAUACAAGUGACUUCCUCUGACUCUCCACUUCCAACCCGAGAAACAUUCAUUUCCUCUCUAAGUUCUAGCUCACGAACAGUCUUCUCCUCCCUUUUCCUUUUUGCAUCAUCUAGUGCUUUCUUGCACUUCUCUUUAGCCUCCUGUGUGGUGGCCUUGCAUUUUGCCACAUUCUUUCCUUCAUGGGCCACAUGUUGCUUCAACCUUUAAAUCCCUCCUUGCAUCACUUUGUCAUAGAGUUUGCACUUCACCUUGUCCUUGUUGGUAGGAUCAACAAGAACCCCAUAUUCCCAUCCCACAUCGUCUAAAUUCCUUCUCACGAUAUUCGCUCCCUCGGUUUCAAGUGUAGAUGCAGCUUCUGUUGUUGACAUCCUACAUUCAAGAGUUCAGUGACCACACAAUCUAGAAUCCACACAUUCAUAUUCAGAGUUCAGUGAGCGCACAUUUAGAUUGACACUUUAGUGAGCAGUGAGCACACAUAAUACAGAGAAUCAGAUACAUACAUUCAGAUUCAGGCAAUCAUAGAAUACACAUACAUACAUGCAGAUUUAGAUUCAUUCAUUUUAGAGAAUCAGAUUUAGUGUAAUACCUGAUUUUAAGGAUAAAACCAGAUAUGACCAUAUGUGAGUUUUAGAAGCCAAUUCUCACAUAUAGCUACAAAUAAGGGGUAGUAUCCAAAGACGAUGCAUAAAUAUAUAACGUACUUAGUAUAAAAGAGAUAACCUUCGAUAGCAAACAGCGGAUAGUCAACUCCAAACUUUGGGUAUUAACUUCUCUCUACAGGAUCCAACUGACUAGUUGAUCACAAGCCCAAAACUUCUCCUGAGGGGUGGGGGAAAUAGCAAGAGUGAACACAUAUCGUACUCAACAAGUAUAACCAGGGGUUCAUGAGGCUCAAUUAGCUGACAUUGGUUUGACGGUGUUUAGCUUUUAUAUGUAGAUAGCAUAUUUAGUCAUUGGAUAGCAAAUAUCAAGGUAGCAUAUUAAAUCCCAUAACCACAUGAUCAAUGUAUACAAGAAUUAAGAAUAACACAUAUAAACAACAUAAUAAACCAUCAUUUAUCAUCAUUAAUCAUGUUCAUCAGUGUCCAUCUAUUCCGUUAGUUUUCCGGGCCACCCGUAUCCGUGGGCACGGCUAGUAUACCAGAUUUAACACUCUGCAGAGGUUGUACAUCUUUACCCAUGAGUCAUGAUUUACCCUUUUGCCCGAGGUGAUCAGCCUCUUAACCCACUACCAAGGAAGGUCGACAGGGAUCACUAUGAAGUCUUUCAAAGGUUCGUCUAACAAGUUAGAGCCGCUUGGUUUCAUUAGUCAGUCCAUGUGAUCCACCCCUAGGAAUCCACGGUCUGCUAUUCCCCAAUUGCGCCACAUGGGUAACCGCUAACGAGCUAGAAAAUUACUCAUACUUGACUAAAGCCAGAGCCAUAUAGCCCUCAUGGUUGUACGAGUUGUCCCAGCUUUUGCCAAGGGAUAAUUCCUUAUGGAGGGUCAAGAUCAAUCUAGCAAAAGCUAGAACUCUUUUCAUCCUUUAUGUUUAAGUUGCUAGAAAGCUUAUUUUAUUGUUUAUUGUAUAUCCAAAUAUUCAUGUUACAAGAUCAUGGUUUAUAAUCAAGCACUAGCAAGAACUACCCCAAAUGCAUAUCCAAAUAGGUAUCAAGGAAUUCAAGAUAACAAUCAUCUAUGAUUUUACUAGGGUUGUCAAGGUGGACACAUGCAUAUGAUAUAUGUAUUAAAAGUGUGUAGGUAACAAGGAUGGUCCCAAGUUAUACUUGCCUUAAUCCAAAUGCUCUUGUUGAUCCUGCUGGUCUUACUAGUUGCCAAAGCUCUGAUCUUGAUCACCAAAAACUGCUCUCCGACUAAGCUCGAUCAUCGAUCAUCAACACACAAACAAUCAGAGACAACAUACACGAAGCAAUCAAGGCUACAAUUAGAACAGUACACCAAUCAUAUAAAAACAGUAUGAAAAGUUUAUAAAAUGAUUCUAUGCAUCGCUACGAUCUCAAAGACGUAAAGAUCACGAAAAUUAGAAUUAAAACGGAGAAUAUAUGAGUUUUCUAAGAUUUUAUAUAGAAAAGUAAUUAAUGAAUAAGGUCACGAAAUUAAAAAGUUUCAAACUGGUGAAUUAAGUUUACUAACAUGUAGAGCUCAUUAAAAUGAAUCCAACACAAUUUGAAUGGAUCAAAAUGGAAUUAAAAUGAAUAUUUUAUGGCUAAAAUAAAUUCAGUGGCAGUUUUGUAAAUACCAGAAAGCGUAUUUUGAAGUAACCCGAGACAGAUUACGUUUUCAAAACGACAAAACGUAUUUUCUAACUACGUGAAGGACUGCGUGUUUGAUAUAUAAAAAGUCCAGGGGCUCUUUAGAAAAACGUCCAGCGUAUCCUUGAUUUCUGGCCGUUGGAUCACGACUAAAUGGCUUGGAUUAGAUCUGGGAAGAGAGAAAGAGAGGUGGCCUGGCGGAACAGAAACUCCAGCCGGCGAUCCACCAUUGUCGGCAUGAAAAGGUCACCGGAGUUCAAAGAAAAAUACGCUAGAGGCCACUAAUCGAUGCACCGAGAGCAUGAGCAGAUAGAGGGGGUCAACGUGAGCUUACUAUUGACGGUCCUUAAUGCUCACAUUUAACCAUCAACUAAUCAUGAAAAAGGAUCCAAAUGCAACCGACACCUAUACUUAGGGUUUCAUCUGAUAGAUUUUCACGAGUUUUGGUGUUUGUCUAUUUCUGCAGGGGGUUAUCAGGAAAUACGAAGGAAAAGCCCACACAUCGGGAUUACAUAGAGAAUUAAUGUAUGCAGUAAUUUUCCAUAAUCAGGAAGACUCUAGAAGCAACUCGACCGAAGCGGAGCCGAGACGGGUCUUGGGUCGGGGCGCCCGCCCUUGAUCCUAGGGCGCCCGCCCUAGUACAAGCACCAAUCACAGAAUGGAGUUCACCAUUACAAAGAUCUCGUCGAGCUGAUCGAAAUGCAUAUAUUAUUUGUUAUAUUUGGACUUCGUAAUCAAAAGAUAUUAAUAAAAGAAAGACUCCACAUAAAAGAGCUGCGGGAUUAAUACGGGCCCAAAUCAGAUUUUGGUCCAUUAAGGCCUAUGUGCAUUUUAAUGAGAUAUGGUGGAAAGUUUAGUACACAUCGCCUGCUGAACCAAAAACGCACAAAGGAGGAGGACUAUAUAAGCAAGGCCCCUGGCCCCUGGAGGAGAACAUAUCAUUAUAGAGUUGAGAGGUGCCCUCGAAGGAUAACAUUUCCUCUAUAGAGAAUUAGGGCUAGACAUUCCAAUGUAGUAGAUUAGUUCUAGUCGGGAGUUAGGGAGAGCGGAGCUGCGCUUCGGUUCUGGAGAAGUCUUCAGAGUUUAUUGUAAGACUUAUGCUUUAAUAUAUUUAUCUUCUCUAUUUACUUUUAUGCCUUUAUUAUUAUCGAGUAGUGUAGUUGUUAUAUUUUGGCAUAGGAUCUCCGUUCGCAUCGAGUGCUCUAGUUAUUCAUGGUAAUUAGAGUAGUAAUCGUCAGUAUAGACGUGGUGUCUAUACUAGAGGUUACCUGAGGUUGCACCCAGUCCUGCAGAUUGUUGUGGUAGCCCUAGGUUAGUGACAGCCCUAACGGUCGACGUAUUCCACCUCGUUCGGAUCGGUAUUUGUAAGACCGUAGUCAGAGCUUCCCAGCCCCCUUCCAGUUCUCUUUCUAUGGUUGGUGCCCAAAGUCCUAAUAUGUGAUUGCUAUAUCUAUUCAUUCUUUGUUAUUAUAGAACUGAAGUAAUAGAGAAGUAUACAGGAACCCAGGUCUCUCCCGUUGUCCUCCCGCUAUGGCUAUCUACGCAUUUAUCAUAGAAUUCUCACCUUUAUAUUAUUACCUAUCAUAUAUCAUUUACCUCUACUUUAGUCUAGUUGGUUUAUUAAAUUAGUAGAUGCAUGAUAGUAAGUUAUCAGAUUCUUUGACCUUAGCUCCCCAGUGGUAAAAUAUAAAUAACGAUACCUCGAAUACUCUCGGUAAAAUGCUACAAUGAUGUUCUGUGCGCUUGCGGAAUUUUUCUUAUUCUUAUUGCACUUAACGAAUGUCAACAAGCAUUUUUGGCGCCGUUGCCGGGGAAGCAAUUGGUGUGAAGAUUUUGAUAAUAAUCUUGAUGUCUGCUAAUUUAAUGUAUCACUAGCUUUAGUAGGUUUAUUGUAUUUAUCUUUUCUGCAUUUGUUUUCAGCAUAUUUAUUUCUCCAUAACAUAUUUAUCUUUCUGCAUUAUUAUUGCAUUAAAAAAUAUAAUAAAAAUAUUUAUAUAACUCAUUGCAUCUUAAAUACUAAAACCCCAUGUGAAUAAAUUGUGUGGUGUGUAAAAUCCCACACGGAUAUUCACCGUGGUGGAAUAAAAAAAUAAAAAUAAAUAAACAUGCAUUCAUCCUAUUCCAUUUUCUUUUUGCUUCAUAGAAAGAUUAAAACCCAAAAAAAAUAUAUAUAUUGAGAAAGAUAUCUUGUUGAAACUCUGCUUAGAAAAAGAAUUAAGAAAAAUCAAAAAAGCUCGGACAACUAAGGCUUAAGUGGCCAACUAUUAAUGUUUAAUCGGUGCCACAAGUUUUGUUGUCUAUUUGAGUUUAACAUGAUUUAAAGAGAGAAACCCCAAUGAUCAAGAUAUCUUCAUCAACUUGGAAGUGCUACAAUCAUCACUGACAUUUUGAAGCUCAAGAAUAUUGAAGAACAUCUGUGUUGUGCGGAUUCAAGAUUAAAGACUAUGUCAACAUUCAGCUCGGGGGAAGCAAUCCCGUUAUCUUUGCGAUUCAGGCUUGAAGUAAAAGAGUGAAGAAUAACAAGGUAUGUCCAACCAAUCAUCAUGCAACAUUGAAUUAAAUUCAUCCAAACUUGACUUGUUCAAGCUGGGGGGAAUACCUUACACAAAAACAUCCUUUGCUAUGUUGUUAUGUUGGUUGUCCCUACCCUUAAGACAUGCUCAAAUUGUUAAACACUAAUCAUUCUAUUUCAUCCCCACUUGAGUAGAUCUCUAUAAUGUUGUCAUGCUACCUUUGUCUAUUCACAAGUAAGUGUUGGUUUGAAAGUACUCGACAUACUUCCAUUGGCAUUUAAAUUAAGCAUGGUGCUUAGGUUAAAUAGUCUUCCUUAAUCCGAUUAGACAUGGAGUCUAGUUUGGUUAUUGAACUAAAAACUGCUUGUGUAGACACUGGUAUAUUUUGUUGGACUAACCCCUGCAGGAUAAUUUUCAAUAUCGAUUUGAGAAGUCCUGAGAUAAAUUCAGAAUGGAGAUAAAGAAGGAGACACAUGAAGUUUAACAAUUUGCACAAGAAAGACAUAGCUCGAGAGAUAAUCCAUGGAACGAGACGAAGAGUGCCACGAACAAGAUGCACAACCAUUGAGAAAGAAAAGCUUCUACAAGGUGAUAUUGUACCAUCACUCUUCAAUUAAGGUAACAUCUUAAGGUAUGUGACUGUCACUGUUAUAAGCUUCUCCUUGAUUCUGGCAUGCAGUUGGAUAAAAAGACAAACAUGUAUGAUUUAUAACUCCAAAUUAACCAACCCAAUUGAUUCAACAUGUUUAGUCCUUUAAUCUUUGUUUCCAGUACUACCUUCUUGAUCCCACACUCUUAACCAUAUGAGCUAAAAUGUUGCACAUCCGAUCUUUGGAAAAUGAUAGUCAUGUAAAGAAAAAAACAUUACUUAGAUAGAUUAUCUUUCCAUAAGGUUGAGUGAUCUGAUCUGACAAAUGUUUUAAACGCUACACUCAUGAUCUUAUCAUCCAUCAACUUUGUCUUGCUCACUAUGCUUAAGGUUAGAGAAGAACAAAUACACUUUUGGUUCUAUUGGUGUUUUCCACCAACAAGGCCCAUGCACUUUAUCUCUGCCUUGUCUCUAUGAGCAGGAUACACUUCGAGCAAAACAUGGAGGAGUUUCCAACUCCUGGACUCUACCAAGUGAAGGACCUGGAUCUACGAGCACAAACACACUGAGGAGGAUGCUGCCAACGCCGUGCUUCGAACUGCUGGGCAAACGAAAAACAUGGGUGACACCGUAUCAAGAGGUGCAGAUGUCAAGGUCCACACCUAACUCAAAUGACGCACCUAAAGAAUAAACACGGUGAGAAUUCUUGUUCAGAAGACUUAAAAUAAUGAACCCUCGCCGAAAGGUAAAAUCGGUAGUUAUGCAUAUUUAUCCUUUCUGCAUUCCCUUCUUUCUUAAAUUAUUUACUUUCCUUAAAUAGCUUGUUAGUUAAUCAUGCUAUCUUGAAAAGAAAAUAAAAAUGUUAAAAACAGUAAGCCCCAUGUGAGUAUGCUCGUGGCACAAAACCCAUUCACUGUGGUGGCGUAAAAAUAAAAUAAAUAUAUUCUUGUCCUGUAAAAAUGAAAAUAUAAAAAUAAAUUUAUGAUCCUACUAAAGAGUAAUAUUUAUUAGAGGAAGCUCAACAUGAUAAAGGCUAAGAAAUUUUAUGCUAACACUUAACCAGUUCCACAAAGCUUUGUUGUCUACUUGAGCUCCACAGAAUUCAAGGAUCAAGAAAGACUAGCAGACGUAGGAUAUCCUAAUCGCUAUCAGGGUGCUGCCAACAUUCAAAUACACCUACGCCACCUGCUAGCUACAUCAGAAGAAAUUACAUUAAAAUCCAGCUUGGGGGAGAGCACCCCCAUUUAUCCAGCUAAGUGUUUCUACUCACAUUUAUACCUUACUCAAAUAAUAAAAAAAUACAUAAUCAUAAAAACUCAAUUAAACAUUUUAUGCUUAUAUAUAUCUUUGCUUAGUUUGCUAAAUAAAUAAAUAAAGUGUCUAUGCCAAACUGAACUUCAAUGAUAAACUCUUACAUGGAUAUGAUGAAUAGUUGCUCUGCCAAGUACCUAGUUUUCAAAUUUGAGCUCUCUCUCAAGUUUAGGCAUAACUAUUAUAAUUUAAAGCUUGCUCUAAACCUGAAUUUGUGGGAAGAGUACCUGAUCAAAAGUCUAAGUCGUUAACAGAUAUGAUAUGGGAAGGUUGGGCUGCUGUUUAUCGGUUCCUAGAGAUGCUAGAAUUCUGGAGAAUUUUAUCUUUAAAAAUCUUUAAAUUGUUGCAUGAUGAGUUCCUGUAUGAUGAGAGUUUUAAAAUCCUACCACAGCCAUAUAUACAAGCUUAUUAGACUAUGAACCAUACAUUUACUUUUUACUGCUUAUGAGCAUUGAGUGUGGUCAAGCUGUGUAGACCCUUAGAAGCUUGUCAUGCGGUUAAAAUCAAGAUUCACUUGCACGUUCACUCAUACAUGCUGCUUCUACUCUAGAAGUACACAUCUACAUACAUCCACUCAUUUCCAUAUCCAGAUUCACUCAAAAUUAUUCUACUCCUAUCUAGGAGAGAAUAGCCAAAAACAUUAUCUUAUCCCUGUUAUUCUCCGUGAAAUAAAUGCUCGAGAUAUUUUGAUUACUACCACUUGCUACAUUAUUCCAGGAGGGUGAGUGCUCUGAAAAAAGUGAAUACGAGGAAAUAAAAAGGGGCAAGUGCCUGAAACCUCGAAAAAAAAAAGAAGAAGAAGAAAAAGAAAAAGUGAGACGAGAGGUAAAAAUAGACAAGUGUCCGACAGUAGAAUUAGGGGUACAAGAUACCCACCUAAGAGAAAAGAAAAAUAAAAUAUAGAGCGUCUCAUUCCCCUCAAAAUCCUUAAGUGCAAGAAAGGUAUGUACCCCCUCAAAAGAGAAAAAGUAGAAUUAGACUUUCACCUUUAUUUUCACCAUUAUCACCAUUCAUUCGCCACACAUGCACAUCUUGAUUUGACUUAUUGACUUGUUCUUCUGGAUCCAUGGUUUGACUAUGCAAUAAGUGUCUUGUAAGUAUGUAUUAGCUGUAUCCCACCUAUGAGCUCCAGAUAUCAAAACCUUAUUAGAGUAGGGUGAGAGAGAAGGCAAUACCACUAUGCCUCAUACCAAAAAUACCACAUACUUUGAGAGAAGACAUACACCAUUACUGCCUUGGUAAGGAUCCAGAAAUACCACAAAAGAGAGACUAGAGAGAGUCAUACAAGGAAUCUCUGAGUUUUAUUUAAAAAUCUGCAAAAACUCCAGAGCUAUAGUUAAUCGAAGAACAAGUGACAUGGCGCUUGACUAGACCGUUCUAUCUUUUAACUCCUCAAGACAUAAGUGACGGUUGCAAGCCCCAUGGUAGAAGGUAAAAUGUGUAAGUUUAAAUCUUAACAGUUUACCCUAACCCAGAGAUGAGAUCUUGUUUGAACGCAUGUGUACCUUUAAGGCAUGAAACCACUGCAGAAACUCUUGAGUCCAUCUUUGCUCAGGGACGAGCAAAGGUUAAGCUUGGGGGAGCCUGUUGACGGUCCUUAAUGCUCACAUUUAACCAUCAACUAAUCAUGAAAAAGGAUCCAAAUGCAACCGACACACUUAGGGUUUCAUCUGAUAGAUUUUCAUGAGUUUUGGUGUUUGUCUAUUUCUGUAGGGGGUUAUCAGGUACGAAGGAAAGGCCCACACGUCGGGUUUACAUAGAGAAUUAAUGUGUGCGGUAAUUUUCCAUAAUCAGGAAGACUCUAGAAGCAACUCGACCGAAGCGGAGCCGAGAC